rnacentral:rRNA from 1 species
UACGGAGGGUGCGAGCGUUGUCCGGAAUCACUGGGCGUAAAGGGCGCGUAGGCGGCCUGUUAAGUCGGGGGUGAAAUCCUGUGGCUUAACCGCAGGGCUGCCUUCUAAACUGUCGGGCUAGAGCACAGUAGAGGCAGGUGGAAUUCCCGGUGUAGCGGUGGAAUGCGUAGAGAUCGGGAAGAACAUCAGUGGCGAAGGCGGCCUGCUGGGCUGUUGCUGACGCUGAGGCGCGAAAGCCAGGGGAGCGAACGGG